ensembl:lncRNA
CACCGCAGGGUAGCAAGUCUCCUCAGCAGGUACGUAAAGCAUUUGAGCCAGAAGAUGGAGAUACAGAGCUAAUUCUUCUCUGCUCUCUUUGGACUCCAUCAGCCUUCAUGCUUCCUACUUACAGCCUCGCUUUAGGUGCAAAAUGAAUGCUCCCAAUCUCUCAGGGUCUCUGGGGUUGGAAUGUAGGAAGCAAACUCUGCAUCUGCCUUUGAAAAAGAGAAAUACCUGGUGUUUGGAUAACGAUUCUUCAUAAGCUUCUCUCAGAGAUCAGUAUAAAUGACUCCUCUCAUUCUUUUAUUUUUUUAAUACAUUCACUAUUAUAAACUGGGACACCUACUAUGUGCUAGACACUGGAGAGUCAAUGGUAAGUAACAUAAAACUAGUCCCUGACCUCAUGAAGCUUGUAGUAUAUCUGGGGACACAGACACUAAACGUAUUAAUCUCUUAAAUAGCAUAAAUCACCUACAUUGUGAUAAGUGCUAUGAAAGAAAAGAAUGGGUACUGUGAGGACAUAAACGGGGGCUAACCUAGCUCUGAGAGUUUCCUUGAGGAAAUAAUGUUUAAGCUGACAUCUAGAGUGAGAGUUAACUAGACAGAGAGUUUGGGAGAUGGUCUAGGGAAAGGACAUGAAACACGUUCUAGGCAGAGAGUAGGGCUAAGGCAGCUUCAGGGUGAGGUAGGAAUCUGGGCCUUAUGCUGUGCUCAUCACUGGAAACUGUUGAAUUCAGUAGUCAGAGCAAUCAGAGGACUCCGGAAACCAGGAGAGCUGUCUACUGUGUCAAGGCUGGCCUGAGGGCAUUUGCUGAGCACAGAGAAACCCAGGAGAGGAGAUGAACAGUCUUUUCCCACCUACCUCUUGAUCUGUCUGAUUUACCCACAGAAAGCCAGCUAGAGUCCCCUAAGAGUCUCUAGGCCCAGAAUGGAGUCCUUAGGGCAACAGGGGAUUGUGAUGCUAACAAUUAAACCUGCUCAGGACCUGAAAGAUUGAAGGGGACUGACAGUAUCCUCAACAUGGCCUCCUAGAUGUGAAUAAACUGCCAACUCCAAUUGUGUCAUUCCCAGUUUGCCUGCUUCCCUUUAGUCUCCAGCAGAACUGGCUGGAGCCCACUACCACCGCCUCCUGUUUCCCAUCCUGCCACAUGUGUUUUGUGGGUGCCAGCCUUGGACACUUGCAGAGGUCUCCCAGAGAGUAGCUGGUCACCGCCUCUGUAACAGGCUGAGAAAAGCCAUGUAAGAAGGUUCAUGUACUUUAAAAGGCAGGUUCUUUAGCCUCAGAGCCUGUUGUUUUUGUUGGUUAGUUAAGUCCAAAAAUCUCUUUAAGGAUAGGGUAGGGCUUUUCCCACUUAACAUCUGGACUAUAUCCCUUCCCCAGCAAACACUUGGCACUGAGGAGUUCAAUAAAGGUUCAGUCAAGUGAUGAUGAAUCCCACUCUGGUAGCUUUCAUCAGCUUUGAGAGAGAGCCAAAGGAGGUGUCCUGUCUUAACUCCCACUCUCCUUCCAGCUAUAUUGGGCCAGCUAUUUAUCCUAAUGUUUUAUCUUAAAGGAUGGGAAAGGCAGCCUUUGCUACACUUCUGGUUUCCUGUGCCAGUGCCAUAGGCCCAUAGACUGAUUUUACAGAAGGCAUCUUGAGAGGUUAAAGUGGAAACAUCCCACGGUCCACCAACAGAAGAAGGUGGUGGUGCUCAAUCGUGUCUGACUCUUUGCACCCCUAUGGACUGUAGCCCACCAGGCUCCUCUGUCCAUGGGAUUCUCCAGGCAAGAAUACUGGAGUAGGUUGCUAUUUCCUACUCCAGGGUAUCUUCC